rnacentral:rRNA from 1 species
UGGGGAAUAUUGCACAAUGGGGGAAACCCGUGAUGCAGCGACGCCGCGUGAGUGAAGAAGUAUUUCGGUAUGUAAAGCUCUAUCAGCAGGGAAGAAAAAAGACGGUACCUGACUAAGAAGCCCCGGCUAACUACGUGCC